rnacentral:rRNA from 1 species
CCUACGGGAGGCAGCAGUGAGGAAUAUUGGUCAAUGGCCGGAAGGCUGAACCAGCCAAGCCGCGUGAGGGAGGAAGGCGCAGAGCGUCGCAGACCUCUUUUGCCGGGGGACAAAAGGCCGGACGCGUCCGGUCCUGAGGGUACCCGGAGAAUAAGCAUCGGCUAACUCCGUGCCAGCAGCCGCGGUAAUACGGAGGAUGCGAGCGUUAUCCGGAUUUAGUGGGUUUAAAGGGUGCGUAGGCGGGCCUUUAAGUCGGCGGUGAAAUCGUGGGGCUCAACCCCGCCGGGCCGUCGGAACUGGGGGCCUUGAGGGCAGCGGAGGUAUGCGGAAUGCGCGGUGUAGCGGGGAAAUGCAUAGAUAUCACGCAGAACCCCGAUUGCGAAGGCAGCGUGCCGGGCCGCCACUGACGCUGAGGCACGAAAGCGCGGGGAUCGAACAGGAUUAGAUACCCCUGUAGUC